rnacentral:rRNA from 1 species
UACGGAGGGUGCAAGCGUUGUUCGGAAUCAUUGGGCGUAAAGCGCGUGUAGGCGGCUAUCUAAGUCUGAUGUGAAAGUACGGGGCUUAACCCCGGAAGUGCAUUGGAUACUGGAUGGCUAGAGGACGAGAGAGGGAAGUGGAAUUCCUGGUGUAGGGGUGAAAUCCGUAGAUAUCAGGAGGAACAUCGGAGGCGGAGGCGGCUUCCUGGCUCGUUUCUGACGCUGAGACGCGAAAGCGCGGGGAGCAAACAGG